rnacentral:rRNA from 1 species
CUGCAGCUCAAGUGGUGGCCGCUAUUAUUGGGCCUAAAACGUCCGUAGCCGGUUUAGUAAAUGCCUGGGUAAAUCGUGUAGCUUAACUAUACGACUUCCGGGUAGACUGCUAGACUUGGGACCGGGAGAGGCUAGAGGUACUCCUGGGGUAGAGGUGAAAUUCUGUAAUCCUAGGGGGACCACCAGUGGCGAAGGCGUCUAGCUAGAACGGGUCUGACGGUGAGGGACGAAACCCUGGGGCGCGAACCGGAUUAGAUACCCGAGUAGUCC